rnacentral:ncRNA from 1 species
AACAAAGCUUUGAAAAGAAGGAUUUAUAUACUUCCGUUUUAGAGAAACUAUGGUUGGUGGAAAUAGUUAAGGGUUUAUAAAUUGUAGUCUUGGAGCUGGGAUUGUGAGUUUAGUAGCUAUCCUCGAUUUAUCCUCGUUAAGGAUCUUAAGAGCUAGAAUUUAUUCUAGAAUAAAGGUGGUACCGCGUUUAUGACGUCCUUUUU